rnacentral:rRNA from 1 species
UACAGAGACUGCAAGCGUUAUUCGGAUUCACUGGGCGUAAAGGGUGCGCAGGCGGCCGUGUGUGUCAGGUGUGAAAGCCCGGGGCUUAACCCCGGAAUUGCGCCUGAAACUACAUGGCUAGAGCAUUGGAGAGGGUAGCGGAAUUCACGGUGUAGCAGUGAAAUGCGUAGAUAUCGUGAGGAACACCAGAGGCGAAGGCGGCUACCUGGACAAUUGCUGACGCUCAGGCACGAAAGCGUGGGGAGCAAAGGG